AACGAACGCUGGCGGCAGGCUUAACACAUGCAAGUCGAGGGGCAGCGCGAUGUAGCAAUACAUUGGCGGCGACCGGCGCACGGGUGCGUAACACGUAUGGAACUUACCCUUUACUGGGAGAUAGCCCGGAGAAAUCCGGAUUAAUAUCCCAUAAUAAACGAGGUGGCAUCACUUUGUUUGAAAGCUCCGGCGGUAAAGGAUGGCCAUGCGCACGAUUAGCUAGUAGGUGAGGUAACGGCUCACCUAGGCUACGAUCGUUAGGGGGCCUGAGAGGGUUAUCCCCCACACUGGUACUGAGACACGGACCAGACUCCUACGGGAGGCAGCAGUGAGGAAUAUUGCGCAAUGGAGGCAACUCUGACGCAGCCAUGCCGCGUGCAGGAAGAAGGCGCUACGCGUUGUAAACUGCUUUUAACCGGGAAAAAACCCCAGGACGUGUCCUGGGUUGACGGUACCGGAGGAAUAAGCACCGGCUAACUUCGUGCCAGCAGCCGCGGU
rnacentral:rRNA from 1 species